AAGGAAUAUUGGUCAAUGGACGAAAGUCUGAACCAGCCAUGCCGCGUGAAGGAUGAAGGCCCUCUGGGUUGUAAACUUCUUUUAUAGGGGACGAAAAAAGCUCAUUCUUGAGCACUUGACGGUACCCUAGGAAUAAGCACCGGCUAACUCCGUGCCAGCAGCCGCGGUAAUACGGAGGGUGCAAGCGUUAUCCGGAUUUACUGGGUUUAAAGGGUGCGUAGGUGGGCAGUUAAGUCAGCGGUGAAAUCUCCGGGCUUAACCCGGAAACUGCCAUUGAUACUAUCUGUCUUGAAUAUCCUGGAGGUGAGCGGAAUAUGUCAUGUAGCGGUGAAAUGCUUAGAUAUGACAUAGAACACCAAUUGCGAAGGCAGCUCGCUACGGGAUUAUUGACACUGAGGCACGAAAGCGUGGGGAUCAAAC
rnacentral:rRNA from 1 species